AAGCACUGUUUGGUGUUUCUUCAAAAACUUGAACAUAUCAGCCUAGCCUGCCUACUCCACCUCCCCUCAGUUGAGCCUAGAGUAGAGGGGCCAGGCACCCUCCUUCAUGGAAGAGAUAUUUGAGGAAGGAACCUCGCCUAGGCUGUCCUAGCCUCACAUUU
ensembl:scaRNA